rnacentral:piRNA from 1 species
CAAGAUAAUAAAGCGUC